GACGAACGCUGGCGGCGUGCCUAAUACAUGCAGGUAGAACGCACAGUUUAUACCGUAGCUUGCUACACCAUAGACUGUGAGUUGCGAACGGGUGAGUAACGCGUAGGUAACCUGCCUGGUAGCGGGGGAUAACUAUUGGAAACGAUAGCUAAUACCGCAUAAUAUUAAUUAUUGCAUGAUAAUUAAUUGAAAGGUGCAAUUGCACCACUACCAGAUGGACCUGCGUUGUAUUAGCUAGUAGGUGAGGUAACGGCUCACCUAGGCGACGAUACAUAGCCGACCUGAGAGGGUGAUCGGCCACACUGGGACUGAGACACGGCCCAGACUCCUACGGGAGGCAGCAGUAGGGAAUCUUCGGCAAUGGACGAAAGUCUGACCGAGCAACGCCGCGUGAGUGAAGAAGGUUUUCGGAUCGUAAAGCUCUGUUGUAAGAGAAGAACGGGUGUGAGAGUUGAAAGUUCACACUGUGACGGUAUCUUACCAGAAAGGGACGGCUAACUACGUG
rnacentral:rRNA from 1 species